rnacentral:rRNA from 1 species
UACGUAGGGUGCGAGCGUUAAUCGGAAUUACUGGGCGUAAAGCGUGCGCAGGCGGCUUUGCAAGACGGAUGUGAAAUCCCCGGGCUCAACCUGGGAACUGCAUUUGUGACUGCAAGGCUAGAGUACGGCAGAGGGGGAUGGAAUUCCGCGUGUAGCAGUGAAAUGCGUAGAUAUGCGGAGGAACACCAAUGGCGAAGGCAAUCCCCUGGGCCUGUACUGACGCUCAUGCACGAAAGCGUGGGGAGCAAACAGG